UACAGAGGUCUCAAGCGUUGUUCGGAUUCAUUGGGCGUAAAGGGUGUGUAGGUGGCGCCGUAAGUCGGGUGUGAAAUUUCGGAGCUUAACUCCGAAACUGCAUUCGAUACUGCGGUGCUUGAGGACCGGAGAGGAGACUGGAAUUCAUGGUGUAGCAGUGAAAUGCGCAGAUAUCAGGAGGAACACCGGUGGCGAAGGCGGGUCUCUGGGCCGAUACUGACGCUGGAGGAGCGAAAAGCGUGGGGAGCGAACAGG
rnacentral:rRNA from 1 species